rnacentral:rRNA from 1 species
GGUGGUUGAUCGCGUCGGAAGUGUAAUCUUGGGGCUUAACCCAGAGCGUGCUUUCGAUACGGGUUGACUUGAGGAAGGUAGGGGAGAAUGGAAUUCCUGGUGGAGCGGUGGAAUGCGCAGAUAUCAGGAGGAACACCAGUGGCGAAGGCGGUUCUCUGGGCCUUUCCUGACGCUGAGGAGCGAAAGCGUGGGGAGCGAACAGGCUUAGAUACCCUGGUAGUCCACGCUGUAAACGGUGGGUACUAGGUGUGGGGUCCAUUCCACGGGUUCCGUGCCGUAGCUAACGCUUUAAGUACCCCGCCUGGGGAGUACGGCCGCAAGGCUAAAACUCAAAGGAAUUGACGGGGCCCCGCACAAGCGGCGGAGCAUGCGGAUUAAUUCGAUGCAACGCGUAGAACCUUACCUGGGUUUGACAUGGAUCGGGAGUGCUCAGAGAUGGGUGUGCCUCUUUUGGGGUCGGUUCACAGGUGGUGCAUGGCAGUCGUCAGCUCGUGUCGUGAGAUGUUGGGUUAAGUCCCGCAACGAGCGCAACCCUUGUUCACUGUUGCCAGCACGUUAUGGUGGGGACUCAGUGGAGACCGCCGGGGUCAACUCGGAGGAAGGUGGGGAUGACGUCAAGUCAUCAUGCCCCUUAUGCCCAGGGCUUCACGCAUGCUACAAUGGCUGGUACAGAGAGUGGCGAGCCUGUGAGGGUGAGCGAAUCUCGGAAAGCCGGUCUCAGUUCGGAUUGGGGUCUGCAACUCGACCUCAUGAAGUCGGAGUCGCUAGUAAUCGCAGA